rnacentral:lncRNA from 1 species
GGGCCGGCAGACAGGCCAUCCAUCAUCCGCCCUCCUCCCGCGGAGCGCCGCAGCCGCCGCGGCCAAUCCGGCGGCAGGUGGGGCCGCACCUGCGCGACAGCCCGCCGCUUCCCUCCGCUCCCUUCGCCGCGCCUCGCGUGCUAGCGGUGCCCUUGUGAGCCACUGCGUUCUCCAAGGCCAGAACGGGACAGAUGGAGAAAUUGAGAUGAGAGCUCAUCCACAAGAUUACCCAUCAAUGAGCACCAAUAGCAACCAAAUCCACUAGAAGACUGGGAGCUUUUAAGUCAAGAAACUUACAUCAGUAUCAUCAUUCCAAGAAGCGGUAUCCAAGCUGUUUUAUCGAAAGUGCGCAUGGGAGAAACCCCUUUCUGAGGCACAGACCCUGCAGGCUCUGAAGAAAUAGGAUAGAUUAUUUCAGCUCUCUCAGCUUGGGAAGUGUGUUUGGAAGAGCAUCUUCCUAGCUGCAAUAAUAAACAGCUCCAGCUGCAAGAGCUUUGCUAAACAAGCCUGGGCAAAACCGUUGGAUUCCUUUCCUUUGACCAUCUUAGAUUUCCCCUGCAAGAGGCAAGGCAGGGAGCCUGCCCUGGAAAUGUCCUCCUAGCCCUGCCCUGUGCAGCUCUGCGCUUCCCCAGGAACACACUCCCUCCCCCAGUCCGCCGCCCCACUUUUGUUUUAUUUACGAAUAUGUUGCCAGAAUUCCAAUGAGUUAUCUAUUCUGUGGCCCCUUCAUUUUCCCACCGAGGCCUUGUCGCCGGCUGACUCAGGGUCCAGUCGCAACAGUGAGAAGAAAAGAAGAGAGCAAAAGAAUUCUUUUCAACUUUUUUUUUUUUUAUGUUUCACUCAUUUCUCUCUCUGUCUCCCCCAGGCCUCCUCCCCUCUCCUGCUCCCUCGUUCCCCCCACUCCCCAGCCUCCUAGGCUCUCCUUUACC